ACUCCUGCGGGAGGCAGCAGUGGGGAAUAUUGGACAAUGGGCGCAAGCCUGAUCCAGCCAUGCCGCGUGAGUGAUGAAGGCCCUAGGGUUGUAAAGCUCUUUCACCGGUGAAGAUAAUGACGGUAACCGGAGAAGAAGCCCCGGCUAACUUCGUGCCAGCAGCCGCGGUAAUACGAAGGGGGCUAGCGUUGUUCGGCUUUACUGGGCGUAAAGCGCACGUAGGCGGACUAUUAAGUCAGGGGUGAAAUCCCGGGGCUCAACCCCGGAACUGCCUUUGAUACUGGUAGUCUUGAGUUCGAGAGAUGUGAGUGGAAUUCCGAGUGUAGAGGUGAAAUUCGUAGAUAUUCGGAGGAACACCAGUGGCGAAGGCGGCUCACUGGCUCGAUACUGACGCUGAGGUGCGAAAGCGUGGGGAGCAAACAGGAUUAGAAACCCUUGUAGUCC
rnacentral:rRNA from 1 species